GUAAAUGUCAUUAAUGACACCACAUCUCCACCCAUUUCAUAAGGAGAACAUAAGAAUUCCUUUUGUUUUUUGCCUACUCUUCUCCUACCACCUCUUUUCUACUACAAUGUUAUGAUAAGAGCAGCUGCCUUGGCAGUUUCUAAUUGCAGAUGUGGAAUCUAUUUCAAAUGAGUAAACUCUCCAAAGAAAAGUGUACUUUUUUUUGGCCACAGGAAUCUUCAGUGACUUAAUUAACAGGUGAGUGGCAUUGCUCCUGAACAGAGCUACCUAGUUAUAAUCUGUGUUACCUUUGCUUUAAAAUGUUCUCUUUACUCCAUUUCCUUAGUUGAUAUGCUUGAGGCAUCUUGUUGAAUCCAUCAUUUAUUCACCCACUCAUUCAUUUAACAUGUAUUUGCAGUUGCAAAGCAGGCAGUAGG
rnacentral:lncRNA from 1 species